GAGCCCUGGAGGAAAGAUUGCAGCUGCCCUGUGGCCCAGAUAAUGCAAUAUCAGGCUUUCUCUUAUCCCUCUCUGCCUUGCCAGAAGAGAGAAAGUUUGAUGACCAUAGGUCUUCAAGCAUAUGAGGCCCAGGGAACAGAUCUACUCUCACCUUAAACCGCUAUACCACCAUUAUACAUUGAACAAGAUCCUAACAAGGAUGGUGCAAGAUUGAGAGUGUGGUAAUAUCCCCAAAUCUUGGAUAAGGAGAAGCUGAACACCAAAACAUCACCUUCAAGAUGCCUGAUAAACAAUAAAUCUGUCAUUUAGCAGCUACUGUUCCAAUAAACCAGCUUGUGACCUCA